UCAGGAUCCUGGUCCAGUGCAGCACUUGAAUGUAAUGGAUGAGGGUUAUUGGCCACAGCAGUUCGCAUGGGGGCAACCAACUUCCCAUUUAGACUGACUUCCAUCCGUCCUGAAACCAAAUGGGCCAGUCGUAACCAUUUAUCUAAAAUGGGGCAAAUUUGAUACAAAGACUGACUGAGGGGAGCAACCAAUGAGGGCAUUGCAGAGAAGAAACAAGGAUGGAUUUGACACCUGCUCGUCGCGCCGCGUUACCGCCAGGAAUUCUCAAAUAGCAUGCAGACCCGUGUCUCCGGGUGUGGAGGCCUCCGCACCAGCCGACAUUUGUCACAUCACUCGCUCGGAGCGCGUUGGGGUCGCCGGUCCCUUCUCUGCCACCCCCUCAUCAGGAUAAUUAAGCUUUCUCAGCCUGCUGCACACAAACGGGGGAAUUUCGCCAGCCCCUCCAAACUGUGGAGAUAGUCUGCAAAUUGCCUCUGAUUCGCCACCUGAUUGUGCUAUGAUUAUGUUGUCACUGGAUGCUGUGAUUAUGAUGGCCCAUAAUUGCUGGUGUGCAUUAGCUGCCACACGACGCCCCCCGAUCUCGCCGUCUACCUGUCUGUGUAUCUAUCGACCUCCUCUUUGUCUAUAAGUCGCCUUUUUCCCCCCCGUGUCACCGCUCCGUCUCAAUGUCUUUAUUUCUUCUCACUAGUCCAGACAAACACCGGGUGAUUCCAGUUGUGCAACACUGUAAUAUUCUUUAAUGCAGGGUUGCAGCUUGAUGAUGGAACAUUCCACAGUUGAUGUCUGUGCCUUUUUUUACUCAUGUUUGAAUGUGUUUAAACCACUUAACUGCCAUUUUAUCCAUUGGGUCUGUUCCUGAAAAUAGAUUUGUUGAUUAGUAUUGAGGUUUUCUCCGUCAGGGCCACCUUGAGCAAUGACUCCGCACUGGCACCUGAGAAAAUUGAACUCAAACGCAGCGUCUGCUCGGGACACCUUGGCAAUUUCAUGAUUUAGCCAAGGUGUGUGUCUGUGUGUGUUGCUGGGAUGAGAUGGUGGCGCGGGUAUUGUUUUACAAGAUGUACAAACACACUUGUCCAACAGGCAUGCAUACAAAGUGUCUCCUCGUGGCACGGGGAAUCUCAUUUUCAUGAAUGGCACGAAGUCACCUGCGGCAAGCCAGCAGAAUGUGCCACAUCUCGGUGCAGGGGAAAAGCCAUUUGUUUGAGUGGUGAAACAGGGAAG